GGACGGGUGAGUAACGCGUGGGUAACCUGCCCCUCAGCCCGGGAUAACCGUCGGAAACGAUGGCUAAUACCGGAUGCUGUAUACAUAUCGCAUGAUGUGUAUACCAAAGUUCAGGCGCUGAGGGAUGGGCCCGCGUCCCAUUAGCUAGUUGGUGAGGUAACGGCUCACCCAGGCCACCAUGGGUAGCCGGCCUGAGAGGGUGACCGGCCACACUGGGACUGAUACACGGCCCACACUCCUACGGGAGGCAGCAGUCGGGGAUCUUCCACAAUGGGCGAAAGCCUGAUGGAGCGACGCCGCGUGAGGGAUGAAGGUCUUCAGAUCGUACACCUCUGUCUUCCGGGACGACGAUGACGGUACCGGAGGAGGAAGCCACGGCUAACUACGUGCCACCAGCCGCGGCAAUACGUAGGUGGCGAGCGUUGUCCGGAAUUACUGGGCGUAAAG
rnacentral:rRNA from 1 species